rnacentral:rRNA from 1 species
UACGAGGGGAGGCUAGCGUUGUCCGGAUUUAUUGGGCGUAAAGAGCGUGUAGGCGGCCAAGCAGGUCCGUUGUGAAAACUGGAGGCUUAACCUCCAGACGUCGACGGAAACCGCGCGGCUAGAGUCCGGAAGAGGAGAGUGGAAUUCCUGGUGUAGCGGUGAAAUGCGCAGAUAUCAGGAAGAACACCAAUGGCGAAGGCAGCUCUCUGGGACGGUACUGACGCUGAGACGCGAAAGCGUGGGGAGCGAACAGG